UAAAUGAAAGCUAGUUAGGGGCAUUUGGUAC
rnacentral:piRNA from 1 species